GUGAAUAUCCUCUGAAGAUAAACUGGGACAGCAUUUUCUUCAAGUUUCUCCAAUAUUUUUACCCCAGUCUGUCUCUUUUCCUUUUGCUUUUGAUUCGGAGAGGAACACGAGCCCACCAGGAGACAGAGAACACAAUCCAAACCCCAGGUGCUGAUUUCAAAGCAAGCAUCAAACCCUUCAGCCUCCUUUUUGGCUGGUAAAUAGAAACUCCUGACACUGCAAGACAAGCUGUGGAGACAGUGGAGGCCCUGUUGCUAAGAAAAAUGACAGCCUCCCAGUCUGUGAUCCUUCAUUAUGACAGCCUGAGCUGACUAUUACAACCGGCCAGUGGGGAAGAGGAGCCUAAAGAAGAUGCUACGCUGUCGGCUUUAAAAGACGAAGGAAGGGGCCCCAAGCCAAAGGGUGCAGGCAGUCUCCAGCAGCUGCAAAAGGCAAGAAAGCAUACUCCCCACCACCCAGAGCCCCCAGAAGGAGUGCAGCCCUGCUAACACCUUGAUUUUGACCUCCAGAGCUGGA